rnacentral:rRNA from 1 species
GAUGAACGCUGGCGGCGUGCCUAAUACAUGCAAGUCGAGCGAACAGACGAGGAGCUUGCUCCUCUGACGUUAGCGGCGGACGGGUGAGUAACACGUGGAUAACCUACCUAUAAGACUGGGAUAACUUCGGGAAACCGGAGCUAAUACCGGAUAAUAUAUUGAACCGCAUGGUUCAAUAGUGAAAGACGGUUUUGCUGUCACUUAUAGAUGGAUCCGCGCCGCAUUAGCUAGUUGGUAAGGUAACGGCUUACCAAGGCAACGAUGCGUAGCCGACCUGAGAGGGUGACAGGCCACACUGGAACUGAGACACGGUCCAGACUCCUACGGGAGGCAGCAGUAGGGAAUCUUCCGCAAUGGGCGAAAGACUGACGGAGCAACGCCGCGUGAGUGAUGAAGGUAUUCGGAUCGUAAAACUCUGUUAUUAGGGAAGAACAAAUGUGUAAGUAACUAUGCACGUCUUGACGGUACCUAAUCAGAAAGCCACGGCUAACUCCGUG